GGGGGCGACCGGCUUCGACCGGAUGCUGUCACGGCCUGGGUGGCGCGCCGAGGUCCGGAGCCCUCGUAAAUCUCUUCGGAAAUCUGAAGUGCCAACACGCACCUCGCUCUCGCUGCCUAAGAACUAGGUAACGACGCCGGAGCCCCUUCGCCUGCGAGGGGUCGAGGCGAUAAAUAGCAGGCUGGUUGCGACACGGCUGCUCGGCCUGUGCGCGAUAAGAAAAUGUCGAGCUGGCCACGUCUUAUCCUGUUCGUCGGAGCAGGCGUGGCGACACUAAAUGACGAGCUACGCGCGUAGAGGCUCAGGUCGGGGUAUCUCGGGACGUGGGUUCGAUUCCCACCGCCUCCACCA
rnacentral:tmRNA from 1 species